rnacentral:rRNA from 1 species
UGGGGAAUUUUGCACAAUGGGGGAAACCCUGAUGCAGCGACGCCGCGUGAUUUAGAAGGCCUUCGGGUUGUAAAAAUCUUUUGUAUGGAAGAAAAUGACAGUACCAUACGAAUAAGGACCGGCUAAUUACGUGCCAGCAGCCGCGGUAAUACGUAAGGUCCGAGCGUUGUCCGGAAUCAUUGGGCGUAAAGGGUACGUAGGCGGAUAAGCAAGUUAGAAGUGAAAUCCUAUAGCUCAACUAUAGUAAGCUUUUAAAACUGCUCAUCUUGAGGUAUGGAAGGGAAAGUGGAAUUCCUAGUGUAGCGGUGAAAUGCGCAGAUAUUAGGAGGAAUACCGGUGGCGAAGGCGACUUUCUGGCCAUAUACUGACGCUGAGGUACGAAAGCGUGGGUAGCAAACAGG